rnacentral:lncRNA from 1 species
GGGAUUCUGCUUUUGCAUCUUCCUCGUUUUCUCUUGCCGCUGCCAAGUAAGAAGUGCCUUUCACCUCACACCAUGUUUCUGAGGCCUCCCCAGCCAUGUGGAACUGCAAGUCCAGUUAAACCUCUUUUUCUUCUCAGGGCUACCUUAAUGAGCAGCCAGGAUGCCAUCAUCUCCGACCUGAAUGACAAUAACCUCCAAACCAGCCUUUGUAUACUCCUUCCUGCUGCUCUGCAGUCCACUUCCACAGACCAGCCAACUGAAUCUCCUUAUAGAUUCAUAAUGGCCAUCAGCACAAAGAUGUUUUAUCUGCAGUCAACCAGUCAUGUUUCAUGAUGGCAUCAAAAUGUGCUGGAAAAGGUCAGAGAAAAUCAUCAUCAUAAAGUGAAGUGAUUUUCUUCUUUAUGAGCUCCUGAUGUAAACAGACUGAUGAGCACAACACAAUCCUUACUCACCCACAUGACAUCAUACACAAUCACAGCUAAAUGUUUCUAUCUGUCAAAGCCUGAAGAGUGACUACCAGAUUGUUGCCUGAUUGAUUUGACAGUUUGGUCUACAUUUCAAGGCUGGUUAGAUGGGAGGUAUGUCCUGGUAUAUUAGUUAAUUUAGGUAUAUCUUACUGAUUUACAUUGCAUGAUUUAUCAGAUGCUAUUGACUCAUUCAAGUAAAUACAUUUAAAAAUUAUACCUUUUGCUCAUACUAG